rnacentral:ncRNA from 1 species
UAUUGAAAUUUUAAAUAAUAAUUUAUUUUAUUAUAAAAUUUUAUUUAAUUAAAAAAAUACAUGAAAAUUUUUAUAGGAUAUUAAAUUCUUAAAGAAUUUAAAAUGAUCUCAGUAUUUAAUAUUAAAUAUUAAUGAAAUUUAGAUUUAAUUAUUAAUUUAAGUAUAAACUAAAUAUGUGCCAGCAGUUGCGGUUAAACAUAAUAUAUAAAUAAAAUAAUUUGGUUAUUAGUAUAAAAUAAUUUAAAUAAUUUAAUUUUUAAUUUAAGGUAAAAUUUUAUUUAUAAUUAAUAUUGUAAUUAUUUUAUUCUAUUAAACUUUAUUUAAAACUAGGAUUAGAUACCCUAUUAUAAAAGUUUAAAAUUUAUUACUAAAAAAUUAAUAGUUAAUUUCUUUAAAUUUAAAAAAUUUGGCGGUAUUUUAUUCUUAUUAGAGGAACCUGUUUUUUAAUUGAUAAUCCACGAUUAAUUUUACUUAUUUUUGAAAUUCAUAUAUCGCUGUCAUGAAUAUAUUUUAAGAUGUAUUUUCUUUAAUUAAUUUAAUAAUUAAUGUUAAGUCAAGAUGUGGUUUAUAUAUAAGUAAAUAAUGGGUUACAAUAAAUUUAAUUUUUGGAUUUUUAUAUGAAAUUUUAAAAUAAAAAUGGAUUUAAUAGUAAGGUUAAUUAUUUUAUUAAUAUGAAUAUAGAUCUAAAAUAUGUACAUAUUGCCCGUCAUUCUUAUUAAAAAUAAGACAAGUCGUAACAAAGUAAAUGUACUGGAAAGUGUAUUUAGAAAGA